rnacentral:rRNA from 1 species
AGUGAACGCUGGCGGUAGGCCUAACACAUGCGAGUCGAACGGCAGCACAGGAGAGCUUGCUCUCUAGGUGGCGAGUGGCGGACGGGUGAGGAAUACAUCGGAAUCUGCCCAGUCGUGGGGGAUAACGUAGGGAAACUUACGCUAAUACCGCAUACGACCUUCGGGUGAAAGAGGGGGAUCGCAAGACCUCUCGCGAUUGGAUGAGCCGAUGUCGGAUUAGCUAGUUAGCGGGGUAAUGGCCCACCAAGGCGACGAUCCGUAGCUGGUCUGAGAGGAUGAUCAGCCACACUGGAACUGAGACACGGUCCAGACUCCUACGGGAGGCAGCAGUGGGGAAUAUUGGACAAUGGGCGCAAGCCUGAUCCAGCCAUACCGCGUGGGUGAAGAAGGCCUUCGGGUUGUAAAGCCCUUUUGUUGGGAAAGAAAUCGUUCAGGCUAAUACCCUGGGAGGAUGACGGUACCCAAAGAAUAAGCACCGGCUAACUUCGUG